rnacentral:tRNA from 1 species
GGAAGUAGUUCAGUGGUAGAAUACAACCUUGCCAAGGUUGGGGUCGCGGGUUCGAAUCCCGUNUCUA